GCUAAAUGCAUCAAUUAAAAAAAUACUUUACCUAAACUACUUGUAUAUAGGGUUAGCAGACGUUGAUAUUAUAGGGAAUGAGUAAAUGCAAACAAGAAAAUAAAUCUUAGAUACACAAAUAAAUAAAAAGAAUUUAGAACUCACAAAAUAAGCACCUAAUCAAUCAAAUUGAAUAUGCAAAGUAAAAUAAAAGGAGGUUUUGAUUUGUAAUUACUAAACUACUGAAGCUAAAACUAAAAAUGAUAGAAUAUAAAUUUAAAGCUAAUAACACUUAUG
rnacentral:misc_RNA from 1 species